AGCGGCAGGCUUAACACAUGCAAGUCGAGGGGUAACAGAAUAGCUUGCUAUUGCUGGCGACCGGCGCACGGGUGCGUAACGCGUAUACAAUCUACCUUACACAGGAGAAUAGCCCUAAGAAAUUGGGAUUAAUGCUCCAUAGCAAUAUUAAAUCGCAUGAUUUAAUAUUUAAAGCUUCGGUGGUGUAAGAUGAGUAUGCGUCCUAUUAGUUAGUUGGUAAGGUAACGGCUUACCAAGACAGCGAUAGGUAGGGGGCCUGAGAGGGUUAUCCCCCACACUGGUACUGAGACACGGACCAGACUCCUACGGGAGGCAGCAGUGAGGAAUAUUGGUCAAUGGAGGCAACUCUGAACCAGCCAUGCCGCGUGAAGGAAGAAUGUCCUACGGAUUGUAAACUUCUUUUAUUUGGGAAGAAACCUCUGGUCGAGAACCAGGGCUGACGGUACCAAAAGAAUAAGGACCGGCUAACUCCGUGCCAGCAGCCGCGGUAAUACGGAGGGUCCAAGCGUUAUCCGGAAUCAUUGGGUUUAAAGGGUUCGCAGGCUGUUUAAUAAGUCAGUGGUGAAAUCUCGAGGCUCAACCUCGAAACUGCCAUUGAUACUGUUAGACUUGAAUACAGUUGGAGUAGGCGGAAUGUGUAGUGUAGCGGUGAAAUGCUUAGAUAUUACACAGAACACCGAUAGCGAAGGCAGCUUACUAAACUGUGAUUGACGCUCAUGAACGAAAGCGUGGGGAGCGAACAGGAUUAGAUACCCU
rnacentral:rRNA from 1 species